rnacentral:rRNA from 1 species
AUAUUAAUAAGCGGAGGAAAAGAAACUAACCAGGAUUCCCCUAGUAACGGCGAGUGGAGCGGGAAGAGCUCAAAAUGAAAAUCGGUGCGCCAAGCGGCGCCCCGAGUUGUAGUCUAGCGAUGCACGGUCAGCAGUGGCCCGGGUGUAAAUCUUUUGGAACAAGGUGUCACAGAGGGUGAGAACCCCGUCUGCUGCCUGGAGUCCGCUGCGUACGACGUGCAUUCCACGAGUCGAGUUGUUUGGGAUUGCAACUCUAAGUGGGUCGUAAAUUUGAUCUAAAGCUAAAUACAGGCGAGAGACCGAUAGCGCACAAGUA